rnacentral:piRNA from 1 species
UGUACUAAAAGUGCAAACACAAAGGGAAC